rnacentral:lncRNA from 10 species
AACCAUUCCCAGGUGGAUAUCAGGCCUCAAGAGGAUGGCAGUCACCAGGUAGACAUCCGGCCUCAGAUAGACACCAAGGUCCCAGAUGUACAGCAGGCCCCAACCGAACCCCAGACUCAUGUGGACAUCAGGCCACAGGUAGACACCAAGCCUUAGGUAGAUAAAUAACUUCAGGUAGACAUCAGACCCAAGGUGGACACCCAGUCCCCAGGUGGACAAUCAGGCCCCAGGCACACAUCAGGCCUUAAGUGGACACCCAGGCCUGAUGUGUGCCUGGGGCCUGAUUGUCCACCUGGGGACUGGGUGUCCACCUUGGGUCUGAUGUCUACCUGAAGUUAUUUAUCUACCUAAGGCUUGGUGUCUACCUGUGGCCUGAUGUCCACAUGAGUCUGGGGUUCGGUUGGGGCCUGCUGUACAUCUGGGACCUUGGUGUCUAUCUGAGGCCAGAUGUCUACCUGGUGACUGCCAUCCUCUUGAGGCCUGAUAUCCACCUGGGAAUGGUUUAUCCAUGGAAACGGUUAUGUCCACCUGGAGCUGGAUGUCGCCCAGGAGCUAGAUGUCCACCUGUGGCCCCGUGUCCACCUAGGGCCUGAUGUCCACAAGUUGGCCUGGUAUUCAUCUGGGGCCUUCAUGCUAAUGUGGCUUAAUGUACUCCUGGGUUCUAGUGUCCUCUUGGGACCUGAUGUCUACCAGGAUCCUGGUAUCCACCUGGGGCCUGGUAUCCACCUAGGGCUUGAUAUUCACCUGGGGCCUAAGAAUCCACUUGAUAACUGGUGCUCAUCAGGGUCCUGAUGUUCACCUUGGGACCGGGUAACCACCUGAGGCCUGAUGUCUACUUAGGGCAUAAGUGUUUAUCUGGGGUCUAGUGUUCACAUGGGGCCUGAUGUCAACCUUGAGCCUAGGUAUUCAUCAGGGGACGAGUGUCCAGCUGGGGCCAGAUGUUCACUUGGGGUCUGGUGUCAACUUGAAGCAUGGUUGUCAACCUAGGACCUGAUGUCCAGUCCAGUGUCCACCUUGGGCCUGUUUUCUAACUGGGGCCUGUGUGUCCACAUAGACCCUGGUGUCAAUUUGGGGCCGGGGUAUUAACAAGGGGCCUGGAUAUUCAUUGGUACAUUAUGUCUACUGGGGUCUUUGUGUCAAUCUGAGCUCUGAUGUCCACCUAGAGAUUGGGUAUCCACCUAAGGCCUGGUGUUUACAUGGGGCCUGUAACACGAGGUUCCAGAUGAACUCGGAUGUCCACCUGAGGCCUCAUGUCCACCUGAGUUCUGAGUGUUCACAUAGGGCCUGCCAUCAACUUGGGACCUAAGUAUUUACCUAGGGCCUGGGUGUCCACCUGGGGCCUGACUUCCAACUAGCUCUUGUGUCAACAUGGGGCCUGAUGUCCACUUUGGGCCUAGGUAACUUCCUGAUGACUAAUGCACACAUGGCUCCUAAGGACCAUCUGAGGCCUGGUAUUAAUUUAGAGACUGGUAUCCACCUGGGGUCCAGGUAUCCACUUGGGACCUGAUGUUCACCUGGAGUGUAGGAAUUCACGUGGGGCCUGGUGUCCACCUUGAGUGUGUGUAUCCAACUGAGUGCUGGUGUCCACCUGGAGUCCAGUGUAUACCUGGGGCCUGAUGUACAUAUGGGGCCUGGGCAUCCAUCUAGGACCUGAUGUUCAGAUAAGGGCUGGCGUUCUCCUGGCCUGGUGUCCAUGUGGAGCCUGGGUGUACAUUUGGAGCCUGAUGUCCCAGGUGGAUACCUGGGCCCCAGUGGUCAUCAGAUCCUAGGAAACUCUCAGGCCCCAGGUGCACAUAAAGCUCCAAGUGGCCACCUAGGCCACAGGUUGAUACACAGGGUCCAGGUGGACACUGGGUGCAAGAUGAACACCAGGCCCCUGGUGAACGCCAAGCCCCAGGUGUCUGCCUAGUCCUCAAGUGGACACCAGGCACUAGAUUGACACACAGUUACCAGGUGGAUAUCAGGCCGCAGAUGAACACCAGGCCCCAGGUGGGGUGGGUUACUUAUAGCAUAGGUGGCCAUCAGUUCCCAGGUCUAUAUCCACUCCCCACCUGAAAAUCAGGAUCCAGGUGAAUACCCAUGUCCUAGGUGAACACCAGGUUCCAAAUGAACAUCAGGCUCCAAGUGAACACACAGGCCCCAGUUCAAUACCAGCCUCAGGUAGACAUCAGGACCCAGGUGGACCCCAGGUGAACACUGAACUCAGGGUGGUCAUCAGGCCCUAGGUUGACACAUAGGCCUCAGGUAGACAACAGGCAUAGGUGAACUUCAGGCUCUAGAUGAAUGUUGGGCUCCAGGAAGAAGUCUGUGCCCCAAUUAAACACUGGGUCUUAGGUAGACAUCAGGCCUCAAAUGGAUGCCCAGGCCCCAGGUGGAUAUAAGGCCUCAGGCCCCAGGUAGACAUUAGACACGAAAUGGACACUCAGGCCACAAGUGAACAUCUGUCCCCAGGGGGACAUCCAUCCCAAGGUGGACAUCAGGCCAGAGAUGUACACCCAGGCCCCAGGAGAACCCCAGGCCCCAGGAGGACACUCAAGUGCCAGAAGGACACCCAGUCCCUAGGUAACUACAAGGCCCCAGGUGGACAUGAUGUUCCAGAUGGAUAUGAGGCCCCAAGUGGAUACUAGGCCCAGGUGGACCCCAGGUCUCAGGGGCACACCAGGCCCCAGGGGAACACCAGGCCCUAGGUAAGCAUGCAGUCCCAGGUGGACAUCAGGUGCCAGGAGGACACCAGGACCCAGUUGGUCAUCAAGCCACUGCUGAACACCAAUUCCCCAUGAACACCAGUCCUCAGGUGGGCACCUAGUCCUCUUGUGUGCAUCAGGUGCCAGGCUGACAUAGGCACCAGCUGAACUCUGGGCCUCAGGUGAACAUCAGAUCCCAGGUUGUCACCCAGGUCCCAGGUGAACACCAGGUUUUAGGUGGACACGAGGUCCUAGGUGGAUGUCUAUGCUCCUGGUGAACCUCAGGCCCUAGUGGACACUCAGGCCCUUUAUAGACAUCUGGCUCCAUAUGCACUCCCAGGGCCCAGGUAGACAUGAGGCCCCAGAGGAACACCAGUCCUUAAUCAACUAAGACUGAAUUCCCCUAGGGCUGGAGACUGAGUAUUCACCUUGGGCCUAGGAAUCUACCUGGGGCCAGAUGUCGAUCUGGGGCCUGAUGUCUACUCAGGUUCAGCUGUCCACCUAGGGCAGGGUGUUCUUCUGGGACCCAGAGUCUACCUGAAAUCUUGUUAUCAACCUGGGUCCUAUGUGUCCACUUGGAGUCUGAUGUGCACCUGAAGCCUGAGUUUUCACCUAGGAUCUGAUGAGCACCUGGGGCCCAGGUUUCCAUCUGAAACAUCAGGCUCUAGUUAUACAUCUGGGCCCCAGGUAUACACUAGACACGAAAGGAACUCCAGCUCAUAUCUUAACAUGAGGUCCUAGGUGGAUGCCCAGGCCUCAUGUCUACAUUAGGCCUCAGGUAGACACGAUUCCAGGUGGGCAUCAGGCCUGAUAUUGGCUCUAUGUCUCCACCCAAAUCUCAUGUUGAAUUGUAAUCCCCAUGGGUUGAAGAAGGGGCCUGGUGAGAGGUGAUUGAAUCAUGGGGGCAGACUUCCCACUUGCUGUUCUCGUGAUAGAGUUCUUACGAGAUCUGGUUAUUUGAAAGUGUGUAGCACAUCCCCCUUCUCUCUCCCUCCUCCUCUCCCAUGGUAAAAAGGGCUUGCUUCCUCUUGGCUUUACAUCAUGAUUGUAAGUGGCCCGAGCCCGCCCAGUCAUUCUCCCUAUUAAGCCUAAAGAACUGUGGGUCAGUUAAACCUCUUUUCCUCAUAAGUUGCCCAAAAUCAGGUAGUUUUUUAUAACAGUGUGAAAACGGACAAGGUCUUAGGAUAACGACCAUGCUUCAGGCCAUAGGUGGACAUCUGGCUGCAACUGGACACUAUUCCCCAGGUGGAUACCUAGGCUCAAGGUUGACAUUAGUCCCCAGGUAAACAACAAGCCCCAGAUGAAUACCUAUGCCCUAAGUAGACAUCAGGCCUCAAGCUGACACUCAGUCUAACCUCAACAUUAGGCUCCAGGUGGACACCCAGACUCCAGGUGGACACUAGACCCCAGGGGUACACCAGACUCCUGGUAGGCAUAAGGCCCCAGGAGGACACUAGAAUCCAGGUGUACAUAAAGCCACUGAUUGACACCAAGCCCUCAGAUGAACACCAGGCCAACUAGUGGACGUUAGGCACAUGAGAAUACUUGGGCACCAGGUAGGUAUCAGGUCCCAGGUAAACAUCAAACUUCAGGUGGACAUCAUUCUCCAUGUGAACUCUAGCCCCAGCUAAACAUCAGGCUCCAGGUGGAAGCCCAGACCCCAGGAGCACUUCUGACCACAGUUGAACAUCUGUCCCCAGGUGAAUAUCAGACCAUGGAGGGAUAGCAAGUCCCCAGGUAGACAUCAGGUCAAAAGUGAAUAUAAGUCUCUAGGAAGACAUCUGGCCCCAGGUGGAUACUGAACUAGAGGUUUACAUCAGGCCCCAGGUUGACAGCAAGGCCCAGGUAGACAGCAGGCCCCAAAUGAAGACCAGGCCCAGGUGUAUACUGAACUAGAGGUUUACAUCAGACCCCAGAUUGACAUUCAAUCCCCAGGUGGUCAUGACACCUCAAUUGGACACCAAGUCCUCAGGUUGAUACCCAAGUCCCCGGUGGACACCAGGUCAAAGAUGAACACAAGACCUAAGGUUGACACUCAAGCCCCAAGUGGACACCAGGCCCUAGGUGAAUAAUAUGACCCAGGGGAUCAUUAGGACCCAGCUGCAUACCAGUCCCCAGGUGUACAUGAGGCCCCCAGUAGGUUCCUAAGCUCUAGUUCGACAUGAGGUCUCCAGUAGAGACCCAGGACUAAGGUGGACAUCAAGCAUCAGAUGGACGUCUGGCCAUGGAUGAACAUCAAGCCUCACAUGGAUACCUAGUCCCCAGGUAGACAUCAGACCCCAGUUUGACAUCAGUUUCUGGGUGGAUCCCUAAGCCCCAGGUGGAUAUCCAGUCUCCAGCUGAACAUCAGCCCCUCGUGGACGUCCAGGCCCCAGGUGGAUAUCAGGUCUCAGGUGAACACAAGUCCCCAGGCAGACAUCAGGCACCAGGUGCACACUCAGACCCCAAGAGGACAUGUGUCCCCAGGUUGACAUCACUCUCAAGGUGUGCAUUAGGCAACAGAUGUACACCCAGGUCCAAGGCAGACACGAGUCUCCAGUAAAACUCAAGGCCCCAGGAGGAUACUCAAGCCCUAGGUGGAUGCCCAGAUCCCAGGUAAUUACAAGGCCCCAGGUGGAUAUCAGAUUCCAGAUGAACAUUAGGCCCCAAGUGGAUAACUAGGCACCAGGUAGACAGGAGGCCCCAGGUGCAUCCCUCAGUCUCAGGUGCACACUAGGCCCCCGGUGAACACUGGCUCCAGGUGAGCACCCAGUCCAAGGUAGACACCAUGACCCAGGUGGUCAUUAGGCCACAGCUAAACACCAAUCUCAAGUGAACACCAGAUCCCAGGUGGGUACCUAGUCUCCAGGUGGAUAUCGGGCCCCAGGUGGACACCCAGCCCUCAGAUGAACAUCAAGCUUCAGGUGGACAUCAUGCCUCAGGUGAACUCCGGGUCCCAGCCCAGCUGAACAUCAGGCCGCAGGUGGAUGCCCAGGUUCCAGGUGCACAACAGGUCACAGUUGGACAUUCAGCCCCAUGUGAACAUCGGGCCAUGGGUGGACAAAGAGUCCACAGGUGGACAUCAGGUCAAAGGUGAACAUCAGUACUCAGGUGGACAUCAGGCUUCAGGUUGACAUCAAGCCCAAGGUGGACACUGAACUAGAGGUUUACAUCAGGCCCCAGGUUGACACCCAGGCUCAGGUGGACAUUAGGCCCCAGGUGGAUACCUAGACCCCUAGUAAACCUCAGAUUCUAGGUUGACAUUCAGGCCCCCAGUAGUCAUUUGGCCCCAUGUGGACACUCAGGCGCCAGGUUCACAUGAUGUCUUAACUGGACACCAAGGGGCCAGUCUGAUACCCAAGUCCUAUGUGGGUGCCAGGUCCAAGGUUACACUCAAGCCCCAAGUGGACACCAGGCCCUAGGUGAAUAAUACAACCCAGGUGGUCAUUAGGCCCCAGAUUGACACCAGUCCCCAGGUUAACCAGAAGCCCCCAGUGGGUACCGAGGCCCCAGUUGGACAUCAGGCCUAAUGUGGACACCCAGGAUCAAGAUGGACAUCAGGACUCACGUAGACAUCUGGUGACAGGUGGACAUCAAGCCUGGUGUGGAUACCUUGUCCCCCGGUGGUCAUCAGGCCCCAGUUCAAC